CUCAUCAGAGACCACAAAAGGUGUUGGUCCCUCUAGACAGCAGGACGGUGGCCAUGGAAGUCGGAACCCGCUAAGGAGUGUGUAACAACUCACCUGCCGAAUGAACUAGCCCUGAAAAUGGAUGGCGCUCAAGCGUGCUACCCAUACCCGACCGUCAGGGUGAAAGCGCAGCUCUGACGAGUAGGAGGACGUGGAGGUUUGUGACGAAGCCUAGGGCGCGAGCCCGGGUCGAACAGCCUCUAGUGCAGAUCUUGGUGGUAGUAGCAAAUAUU
rnacentral:rRNA from 13 species